UUGAACGCUGGCGGUAUGCUUAACACAUGCAAGUCGAACGGAAACGAUACUAGCUUGCUAGUAGGCGUCGAGUGGCGGACGGGUGAGUAACGCGUAGGAAUCUGCCUGAUAGUGGGGGAUAGCCCGAAGAAAUUCGGAUUAAUACCGCAUAAUCUAUUCGUAGUAAAGUGGGGGACUUUCGAGCCUCACGCUAUCAGAUGAGCCUGCGUAAGAUUAGCUAGUUGGUAGGGUAAAAGCCUACCAAGGCAACGAUCUUUAGCUGGUCUGAGAGGAUGAUCAGCCACAUCGGGACUGAGACACGGCCCGAACUCCUACGGGAGGCAGCAGUGGGGAAUAUUGGACAAUGGGGGCAACCCUGAUCCAGCAAUACCGCGUGUGUGAAGAAGGCCUGAGGGUUGUAAAGCACUUUCAAUUGUGAAGAAAAGUUAACGGUUAAUAACCGUUAGCCUUGACGUUAACUUUAGAAGAAGCACCGGCUAACUCCGUGCCAGCAGCCGCGGUAAUACGGAGGGUGCAAGCGUUAAUCGGAAUUACUGGGCGUAAAGCGUGCGUAGGCGGUUUAUUAAGUCAGAUGUGAAAGCCCCGGGCUUAACCUGGGAACUGCAUUUGAAACUGGUCAACUAGAGUAUGGUAGAGGAAAGUGGAAUUUCUGGUGUAGCGGUGAAAUGCGUAGAUAUCAGAAGGAACAUCAAUGGCGAAGGCAGCUUUCUGGACCAAUACUGACGCUGAGGUACGAAAGCGUGGGUAGCAAACAGGAUUAGAUACCCUGGUAGUCCACGCCGUAAACGAUGAUAACUAGCCGUUGGGGGGAUUUACCCUUUAGUGGCGAAGCUAACGCGUUAAGUUAUCCGCCUGGGGAGUACGGCCGCAAGGUUAAAACUCAAAGGAAUUGACGGGGACCCGCACAAGCGGUGGAGCAUGUGGUUUAAUUCGAUGCAACGCGAAGAACCUUACCUGGUCUUGACAUCCUGCGAACUUUCUAGAAAUAGAUUGGUGCCUUCGGGAACGCAGUGACAGGUGCUGCAUGGCUGUCAUCAGCUCGUGUCGUGAGAUGUUGGGUUAAGUCCCGUAACGAGCGCAACCCCUAUCCUUAUUUGCCAGCACGUCAUGGUGGGAACUAUAAGGAGACUGCCGGUGAUAAACCGGAGGAAGGCGGGGACGACGUCAAGUCAUCAUGGCCCUUACGACCAGGGCUACACACGUGCUACAAUGGGAAGGACAAAGAGCCGCGAAGCCGCGAGGUGUAGCUAAUCUCAGAAACCUUUUCGUAGUCCGGAUUGGAGUCUGCAACUCGACUCCAUGAAGUCGGAAUCGCUAGUAAUCGUAGAUCAGAAUGCUACGGUGAAUACGUUCCCGGGUCUUGUACUCACCGCCC
rnacentral:rRNA from 1 species